CAACUUAGAAAUCCAUAGUUUGUGACUUAGAAACUCCUUAAAGAUGGUUGCCAAAUAUUUAUUUCUAAUUGGUCUACGAUUUACAGGUAAAAAAAUUAAAUAACCGUAGCAAAAUGAAAGUAAAUAAUAUUUUUGGUAGACUAGAAAUGAGCUGACUCGUUGUGUCUCAUAUAGGUUUUCAGCAAUUUUAAAACUAACGAAAAAAAAUAUUUUGUCUAACUGUGAACAACUUUACUACUAGAAAUCUUGUUCAAAUCGAAAAACAAACAAGAACCAAUUUUCGU